UACGUAGGGUGCGAGCGUUGUCCGGAUUUAUUGGGCGUAAAGAGCUCGUAGGCGGUUUGUCGCGUCGGCCGUGAAAUCUCCACGCUUAACGUGGAGCGUGCGGUCGAUACGGGCAGACUUGAGUUCGGUAGGGGAGACUGGAAUUCCUGGUGUAGCGGUGAAAUGCGCAGAUAUCAGGAGGAACACCGGUGGCGAAGGCGGGUCUCUGGGCCGAUACUGACGGUUGAGGAGCGAAAGCCCAGGGGAGCAAACGGG
rnacentral:rRNA from 1 species